rnacentral:rRNA from 1 species
UUAAGUUAUUAAGGGCGCACGGUGGAUGCCUUGGCACUAGAAGCCGAUGAAGGACGUUACUAACGACGAUAUGCUUUGGGGAGCUGUAAGUAAGCUUUGAUCCAGAGAUUUCCGAAUGGGGAAACCCAGCAUGAGUUAUGUCAUGUUAUCGAUAUGUGAAUACAUAGCAUAUCAGAAGGCACACCCGGAGAACUGAAACAUCUUAGUACCCGGAGGAAGAGAAAGAAAAUUCGAUUCCCUUAGUAGCGGCGAGCGAAACGGGAAGAGCCCAAACCAACAAGCUUGCUUGUUGGGGUUGUAGGACACUCUAUACGGAGUUACAAAGGACGACAUUAGACGAAUCAUCUGGAAAGAUGAAUCAAAGAAGGUAAUAAUCCUGUAGUCGAAAAUGUUGUCUCUCUUGAGUGGAUCCUGAGUACGACGGAGCACGUGAAAUUCCGUCGGAAUCUGGGAGGACCAUCUCCUAAGGCUAAAUACUCUCUAGUGACCGAUAGUGAACCAGUACCGUGAGGGAAAGGUGAAAAGCACCCCGGAAGGGGAGUGAAAUAGAACCUGAAACCGUGUGCUUACAAGUAGUCAGAGCCCGUUAAUGGGUGAUGGCGUGCCUUUUGUAGAAUGAACCGGCGAGUUACGAUUUGAUGCAAGGUUAAGCAGUAAAUGUGGAGCCGUAGCGAAAGCGAGUCUGAAUAGGGCGUUUAGUAUUUGGUCGUAGACCCGAAACCAGGUGAUCUACCCUUGGUCAGGUUGAAGUUCAGGUAACACUGAAUGGAGGACCGAACCGACUUACGUUGAAAAGUGAGCGGAUGAACUGAGGGUAGCGGAGAAAUUCCAAUCGAACCUGGAGAUAGCUGGUUCUCUCCGAAAUAGCUUUAGGGCUAGCCUCAAGUGAUGAUUAUUGGAGGUAGAGCACUGUUUGGACGAGGGGCCCCUCUCGGGUUACCGAAUUCAGACAAACUCCGAAUGCCAAUUAAUUUAACUUGGGAGUCAGAACAUGGGUGAUAAGGUCCGUGUUCGAAAGGGAAACAGCCCAGACCACCAGCUAAGGUCCCAAAAUAUAUGUUAAGUGGAAAAGGAUGUGGCGUUGCCCAGACAACUAGGAUGUUGGCUUAGAAGCAGCCAUCAUUUAAAGAGUGCGUAAUAGCUCACUAGUCGAGUGACACUGCGCCGAAAAUGUACCGGGGCUAAACAUAUUACCGAAGCUGUGGAUUGUCCUUUGGACAAUGGUAGGAGAGCGUUCUAAGGGCGUUGAAGCAUGAUCGUAAGGACAUGUGGAGCGCUUAGAAGUGAGAAUGCCGGUGUGAGUAGCGAAAGACGGGUGAGAAUCCCGUCCACCGAUUGACUAAGGUUUCCAGAGGAAGGCUCGUCCGCUCUGGGUUAGUCGGGUCCUAAGCUGAGGCCGACAGGCGUAGGCGAUGGAUAACAGGUUGAUAUUCCUGUACCACCUAUAAUCGUUUUAAUCGAUGGGGGGACGCAGUAGGAUAGGCGAAGCGUGCGAUUGGAUUGCACGUCUAAGCAGUAAGGCUGAGUAUUAGGCAAAUCCGGUACUCGUUAAGGCUGAGCUGUGAUGGGGAGAAGACAUUGUGUCUUCGAGUCGUUGAUUUCACACUGCCGAGAAAAGCCUCUAGAUAGAAAAUAGGUGCCCGUACCGCAAACCGACACAGGUAGUCAAGAUGAGAAUUCUAAGGUGAGCGAGCGAACUCUCGUUAAGGAACUCGGCAAAAUGACCCCGUAACUUCGGGAGAAGGGGUGCUCUUUAGGGUUAACGCCCAGAAGAGCCGCAGUGAAUAGGCCCAAGCGACUGUUUAUCAAAAACACAGGUCUCUGCUAAACCGUAAGGUGAUGUAUAGGGGCUGACGCCUGCCCGGUGCUGGAAGGUUAAGAGGAGUGGUUAGCUUCUGCGAAGCUACGAAUCGAAGCCCCAGUAAACGGCGGCCGUAACUAUAACGGUCCUAAGGUAGCGAAAUUCCUUGUCGGG